CGGGCUGGCGCGUGCUACACAUGCAGUCGAGCGCGAAUAGGGGCAACCCUUAGUAGAGCGGCGCACGGGUGCGUAACACGUGGAUAAUCUGCCUGGAUGCCUGGGAUAACCAGUCGAAAGAUUGGCUAAUACCGGAUAAGCCCACGGUUUCUUCGGAGACUGAGGGAAAAGGUGGCCUCUGUAUACAAGCUAUCACAACCAGAUGAGUCCGCGGCCCAUCAGCUAGUUGGCGGGGUAAUGGCCCACCAAGGCAACGACGGGUAGCUGGUCUGAGAGGACGAUCAGCCACACUGGAACUGAGACACGGUCCAGACUCCUACGGGAGGCAGCAGUGGGGAAUUUUGCGCAAUGGGCGAAAGCCUGACGCAGCAACGCCGCGUGUGUGAUGAAGGUCUUUGGAUUGUAAAGCACUUUCGACCGGGACGAAACCGUAAAGCCUAAUACGCUUUGCCUUGACGGUACCGGGAGAAGAAGCACCGGCUAACUCUGUGCCAGCAGCCGCGGUAAUACAGAGGGUGCAAGCGUUGUUCGGAAUUAUUGGGCGUAAAGCGCGUGUAGGCGGCUUUGCAAGUCGGGUGUGAAAGCCCUCAGCUCAACUGAGGAAGUGCGCCCGAAACUGCAGAGCUUGAGUGCCGGAGAGGGUGGCGGAAUUCCCCAAGUAGAGGUGAAAUUCGUAGAUAUGGGGAGGAACACCGGUGGCGAAGGCGGCCACCUGGACGGUAACUGACGCUGAGACGCGAAAGCGUGGGUAGCAAACAGGAUUAGAUACCCUGGUAGUCCACGCCGUAAACGAUGAGAACUAUGUGUCGUGGGAGUUGACCCCCGCGGUGCCGUAGCUAACGCAUUAAGUUCUCCGCCUGGGAAGUACGGUCGCAAGACUAAAACUCAAGGAAUUUGACGGGGGCCCGCACAAGCGGUGGAGCAUGUGGUUUAAUUCGACGCAACGCGCAGAACCUUACUGGUCUUGACAUCUCGGAUCUUCAGAGAUGAGGAGUGCCCGCAGGACGAGAAGACAGGUGCUGCAUGCUGUCGUCAGCUCGUGUCUGGAAAUGUUGGUAGUCCGCACGAGCGCACUCGCUUAGUGCACGCAGUGAAUCUCUAAGAACUGCGUGUAAACGAGAAGGUGGGAUGACGUCAGUCUCAUGGCCGAUGACAGCUACACUGCUCAUGCGUCAGCGUCAACCCGAGGACUAUCCGAAAACCGGUCUCAUUCGAG
rnacentral:rRNA from 1 species